GGAGGCCGGAGGAUCGGGCGGCGGCGGCGGCGGCGGCUGAGAGGGCGGCGGCGGGAGCGGAGCGGGACGAGGGAGCGAGAGGAAGCGAGCGAGGAGCUAGCGGAGCGCGCCCAGCCCCGCCCGCCCUUCCGCUCGCCGGAGCAGCCCGAGCAGCCCCGGCCCCCAGCCGCCGCCGCCGCCGCCGCAGCCGCCUGCCCGCCCGCCCGCCGGACAAAGCCCGAGAGCCCGCGCCCAGAGCCAUGUCCUCGUCCUCCGGCAGCGGCCACCAGCCCAGCCAGAGCCGCGCCAUCCCCACCCGCACCGUGCCCAUCAGCGACGCCGCGCAGCUACCUCAUGACUAUUGCACCACGCCCGGGGGGACGCUCUUCUCCACCACGCCGGGAGGAACGCGAAUCAUUUACGAUCGAAAGUUUCUGUUGGAUCGUCGCAAUUCUCCCAUGGCUCAGACCCCGCCCUGCCAUCUGCCCAAUAUCCCAGGGGUCACCAGCCCUGGCACCUUAAUCGAAGACUCCAAAGUAGAAGUAAACAAUUUGAACAACUUGAACAAUCAUGACAGGAAGCAGGCAGUUGGUUCUCCCCUCCCAUCAGCAAGGUUCAUUGAAAUGUUCUGGAAAUCCUGUGUUCUAAAUCAUAAGCAAAUCUAACCCGAGGGCGGCGGGAAAUCCAAAACCAGGGAAUAGUAAAUCCUUAAGAUGCAUCAUGAAACCAGGUCUCAGGGGAUGACGCUCAGUUUGAGAUGGACAUCUGAGUGCCCUGCAGGAUCGGAAGAAAAGCGGCAGCACCGAGGCUGUGUCACCGGAUGGGGCCCAGAGGACCAACAACCAGCAGACAGGAGGGGCGGUGUCGGCAAGCGUCACAGCCCCCGCGUCCCCUUCUUCCUUCCUCUGGGUGCCAAAUGAUGCAAAGAUGAGCUUCAUCUGACUAUUUCCUCUCCGUUUCCUGUCCCCCUUCCCAGGUAGUCAAGUUCGCUCCAAGGUCCUUGGCAUAUUUCCCUAGACCUAAGCAGCCCACAGAGGAAAGCAGUUCAACUCUGGCUUCCGUGGUCAUUUUGCUGUUGAGAAAACCUCUCCUCCCUCCCCCAGCCCCCCCUUUCUUCUUUUAAUCCCAAAUCAAGUAUCAGCCUACCAACAAUUGCCUGCCUGGGAAGUCUGGGGAAGUGAUAGGUUUGCUGGGCUCAGCAUUAUGCAUGUUCUAACCCUCUAUCUGCCCUCCGUGUCUCCCAUCUGUGGUUCAGAGCUGCAAGAAUCUGGGUUUUCGGUCUUCACAGCCACCAGAGGGAAAUGAUAAGCGAGAAGGGCGCGCUCUCCCUUUUACCUUGAGGUGUUUGUCCUUAGGGGCAGAGCACAGCCUGUGCGUUCUGGUAGCAUCCCUGUGUGGUGCCGUUUGGAGGCCCGCUUCCCCACCUUCCUCUGGCAGGAGUGUCUUGUGUCUUUGAGAGCCGAGUUCAGCUUCCCAGGCCUUCGCUUAGCACAUUGGUGCAGAAAGGUUUGAGCUCUACCUGAGAAGGGCGUCCGCGGUGAGCAGCGGGGCUCUCCUCCUGUCCUGCCUCCCUGCUGGCAUUCCCCUUGCCCACGGUCCUCUUGUCUCUGAGCCGCCCGAGCGGUUCUGGCGCUCCUGGAACAGGCCUGUCCAAGUGACACAGGCGCUCUGGGGAAGGCCUGGUCAUCGUGUUCCGCUGGGUGACACCGAAGAAUGACCUUGGGAGCGUGGCGAACCCCGGGGGUGCUUGGUCUCAGUAGUCCUUGCUUUUCAGUCCACUGAGCGUUGUGAUGUUUGCUGUCUCUGAUCGCAGUUUCUUAUGUUUUGAGUUUAAAAGGUGACUUUCAGAAUGCUCUUAGAAAAGAACGAAACUGUUUCUCUCUGUGGACCUGCUUAGGCUGCUGGGAUAGAUGAGCAUGGGCUUAAAAGUGUGGCCCCACCCCCACCCCCUCCCGGGUUCUCUUGCCUUCCCCAUCGGACUCGGAACUGUCCCUCUCUUUCCCCGCUUCCUGCCCUCCCUCCCACCUUGUUCUCUGCCAGGCCAUUUUUCAGAUAUACAUCAAAGAUACCUCAAGUGUUGGUAUCUGAUAAGAUCUCACUCCUCUUAUCUGAGGAGGGGUCUUUUAUUUUUAAGAUGACUACAGACCUAUUUUUAGAUAUGUUUUCAAUACAGUUUUGAACAGCAACUUUUUAAUUACACAUCUUCCAGUGUUAGGAAGGUGAGAGACGUCCACAGGCGAGUCUGCUGUUCCGUGUCACCCUCCUCUGUCUACCCCAGUUCCCGACGAGCUCUUUGCUUCUCCCUCUAGUUUUGGGUGUGCAUGUUUGCAGUUUGUAGUGGGUGGUUUGUAAAACUGGACCAUUCUCCUUGCCGUGGGUUGUUUAUGAAAGCCUCAUUCUUUUCCCUCACCCUUUGCUUUUUCAUUCCCUGUCCUCCCUGUCCCGCUCUCCUCACUAUUGACUGGCAUGGUGAUCCCGGGAGAGUGACCCCCUCGUAGAAAGACUUAACGCCUCCGUCCCCUCAAAGAACCACCAGGAAAGUAGCCACUGGUGUCCUGGGAACUUCUGGUUACGUGUGGUAUCCUGAGCCCUCUGAAGAGAUCACAUCCCAGAGUGAGAAUAACAGGCCAAUUGCCUAAGAAAGAAAGCUGUUUGUUUUUCUUUCGAGCUAGGAAAAGACCCUGUUAACAAACACAUUUUAGACAGAAGAGAGGAAGGAUGUCUGAGGAACUUUGUUCUGGUUUUUUACUACAAAAUGUGAAUAGUUCAAAGAGUGAACCUUUUGUGAUGGUUGAUGUCUCUCAGGAAUAAGCUGGAUCUCCAAAAUUGGGGGGGAUGCUUUUCAGCCUCAAAAAUCGAUGAUCAGAAAAGUAUUUUUUGUUUGUCUGUUUGUUUGUUUAAUGUAUCCCUGUUCUGGUUUUAAUUAAACUCCAAAUUUCACUUUA